GUGAUUUUAGUUUAUAAAAAUAUUUGCUUUGCAUGCAAAUGAUCCAAAGAUAUUUUGGAAAUCACA
rnacentral:tRNA from 1 species